CCACCACAGCAUGAGUAAAACGCGCGCAUAUACCCCCAUAUGCGAUCUCACGCGAAACGGUACAUAAAAUGUCGCACCUUUCACAAAAAUACCAAUUUGCCAUCUAAGACCCCUCCUCGAACAACGUGCGAUAUCCGCAGAUCCAUCUGUCAGAUUUGCGAACGGAUUGGACUAGUGCGAUCAGCACCUCGGAGACAACAAAGCUACGAUUUCGUUUCACCUCAAACGGUCGCGGAUUUGCGACGAAAUCCACUCUCUCUCCAAAAGGCCAAAUAUCACGCACAAUUACAUAUAAAACACGUUUUAU
rnacentral:lncRNA from 1 species